rnacentral:rRNA from 1 species
UACGGGGGGGGGGCAAGCGUUUGUUCGGAAUUACUGGGCGUAAAGGGCUCGUAGGUGGCCAACUAAGUCAGACGUGAAAUCCCACGGCUUAACCGUGGAACUGCUUGGUAUACUGCGAAUCUUGGGCCAUCUAGGGGGCGAGCGGAACAAACGGUGGAGCGGUGAAAUGCGUAGAUAUCGUUUGGAACGCCAAUGGUGAAAACAGCUCGCUGGGGAUGUGCCGACGCUGAGACACGAAAGCCAGGGGGAGCGAACGGGG